rnacentral:tRNA from 1 species
GGUGCUGUAGCGAAGUGGUCAAACGCGUUAGACUCAAGUUCUAAUCCUUAGGGUUCGGGGGUUCGAGUCCCCCCGGCAUCA